rnacentral:lncRNA from 1 species
UGUUAGUGUAUGUAUCUGACAGAAUCAAGAAUUAAGGCUGAUUAUCUGUUUGAUGAGCUUUAAAAAGAAUGUUUGGCAAUGAAUUUUCUAACGAUAAAACAUCCUUGAACUCUCAUUUCAGGUGCCCAGGAAGUCCUGGAACUGAGUCCUGGGGCAAAGUUCUGGAAGGCGGGAAAAGAAGGUGAUCAGCGUGCUCAUGGAUGGCUUCUGACUCUCCAGGUUUCCAUGCAAGGGUACUCAAACGUGUGUAUGUGCAAAUUCAGAAAAUUCUAUCCAUGUUCCAAAUCUGAGUAUCAAAGCCAAUGGAUAUCCUUUUGGGUCUUUGGAUCUCCGGUGUUGAUAUUUCCAUGUUUGUUGGGAAGUGGUUCUGCCUAAUGUAUGGCAAUGUUGACCUUAGUGGGUGGGUGUAUUUCUAAGCCUGUGAUCUAAGUUAGUCUAUAGAAUCAGC